GUGGGGAAUAUUGGACAAUGGGGGGAACCCUGAUCCAGCCAUGCCGCGUGUGUGAAGAAGGCCUUUUGGUUGUAAAGCACUUUAAGCGAGGAGGAGGCUACCGAGAUUAAUACUCUUGGAUAGUGGACGUUACUCGCAGAAUAAGCACCGGCUAACUCUGUGCCAGCAGCCGCGGUAAUACAGAGGGUGCAAGCGUUAAUCGGAAUUACUGGGCGUAAAGCGCGCGUAGGUGGUUUUGUAAGUUGGAGGUGAAAUCCCCGAGCUUAACUUGGGAAUUGCAUUCGAUACUGGUUGGCUAGAGUAUGGGAGAGGAUGGUAGAAUUCCAGGUGUAGCGGUGAAAUGCGUAGAGAUCUGGAGGAAUACCGAUGGCGAAGGCAGCCAUCUGGCCUAAUACUGACACUGAGGUGCGAAAGCAUGGGGAGCAAACAGGAUUAGAUACCCGGGUAGUCC
rnacentral:rRNA from 1 species